GCGCAGUGGGCGUUCCAGCGCCUCCACCCAUCAGCUGAGGCUCGUUGCUGGCGGCUCUGGGGCCCUUGGGUGGCCGGGGCCAAAGAAGGAGAAGGAAGCCGAGGACGUCGGGGUGACUGCUUAGAAAACUGCACAGCCCAUGAACAGCUGAUGAAAUUAGCGAACAAGCAAAUCAACUAUGUCUUACACUCCAGGAAUUGGUGGUGACCCUGCCCAGCUGGCCCAGCUUAUCUCUUCCAACAUCCAGAAGAUCACACAAUGUUCUGCAGAAAUACAGAGGACUCUGAAUCAACUUGGAACACCUCAAGAUUCACCUGAAUUGAGGCAGCAGCUGCAACAGAAGCAGCAAUAUACGAACCAACUUGCCAAAGAAACAGAUAAGUACAUUAAAGAGUUUGGAUCUCUGCCCACCACCCCCAGUGACCAGCGUCAAAGGAAAAUACAGAAGGAUCGCUUAGUGGCGGAAUUCACCACAUCACUGACAAACUUUCAGAAGGCGCAGAGACAGGCUGCUGAGAGAGAGAAAGAGUUUGUCGCUCGAGUAAGAGCCAGUUCCAGAGUGUCUGGUGGUUUUCCUGAGGAGAGCUCAAAAGAAAGGAAUCUUGUGUCCUGGGAAAGCCAAACUCAGCCUCAGGUGCAGGUGCAGGAUGAAGAAAUUACAGAGGAUGACCUCCGCCUUAUUCAGGAGAGAGAGUCUUCUAUUAGGCAACUCGAAGCUGAUAUUAUGGAUAUUAAUGAAAUAUUUAAAGAUUUGGGAAUGAUGAUUCAUGAGCAAGGAGAUGUAAUAGAUAGCAUAGAAGCCAAUGUGGAAAAUGCUGAGGUGCACGUCCAGCAAGCAAACCAGCAGCUGUCAAGGGCGGCAGACUAUCAGCGCAAAUCCAGGAAAACCCUGUGCAUCAUCAUUUUUAUCCUUGUUAUCGGAGUCGUAAUUAUCGGUCUCAUCAUAUGGGGAGUGAAAGGCUAAGAUUAUAAAGGAGCACAAUAUUGCACUACAUUAUGUAAAUUAUGUAGGAAGAUUCCUUUAAUCAUGUUUUAUUUCAGGAGAACUCUGCUUCCGUGGGACUUGAUACUUACCUCACACUUUUGCCACUGCAGUCUCAACAGAGGAGAUGUAACCACAUGGCCACCAUUCUGCAUCUUGCUGGAGUACUGGCGUACUCAAAAGUUUUUAUUUUGGCAAUCUUAAAAGGUUUUGCCGCUAAUAGGUAGAAGCUGCUUUGCUUGUCAUCAAAACUCAAUUUUUUCCACAAAAGAGUAGUCUUGAUUAGAAAAAAUAAAAUGAAAAACAAUACAGUAGCCAAUUUUUUUUAAGUUCUUAACAAAGGUUUUCUUUAGGUGAGUUUUAGAAUCUCUUUGAAAGAGUGAUGCUUACUUUCAUGACUGUCAACAUAUCUGAAUCUGUUUGAGUUGAACUGAGUCUCAAACUGAAGAACUUUCCUUAUCAAGUGACACAUAUUAUUCAUUUUAGUGUGUUCUGAAGACAUACUUGAACAACGCAGACUGAGAUUAACCAGCCUCUUUGCUUAAACUGAAUGACAGUGUGGCAUGAAGGGUUAAGCUGUUGUACUAGCCAUUAAAUAUUAAGAAAAUGUUCUGGUUUUGCACAAUGAUUAGUGGUAGAAAAAUAAGUGGUGCCGUUUCAACAUAAUGCAGCUUGUUUUACUAGGCGUGGGAUCAACCCUAAAAAAAUACAGAUAUGGACACAGAUGAAGCUUGGUCUGAGACAACAAACCAUGGAGGCAGCCUCUGGAGUCAGGAGCACUGAGUACACUGGGUGCCCGGCAGCUGUAUCUGUGUCGCUCACUGAGAACACUGCACCUGGAAGACGUUGCCACUGGGUCCUUCUUCAGGGUCUUCACUGCUUUUGUUAAAAAAUAGUAAAAUCGGGCUUCCCUGGUGGCGCAGUGGUUGAGAGUCCGCCUGCCGAUGCAGGGUACACGGGUUCGUGCCCCGGUCCGGGAGGAUCCCACGUGCCACGGAGCGGCUGGACCCGUGAACCAUGGCCGCUGAGUCUGCGCGUCCGGAGCCUGUGCUCUGCAAUGGGAGAGGCCACAACAGUGAGAGGCCCGCGUACCGAAAAGAAAAAGUAAAAUCUUGCACACAAAAAAUCAUGUUUUGAAUACCGAUCUAGACAAAUUUAUAAUGAAAAAUGACUUUUGAAAAUUUGUUCCACAAAAAUUAAUCUGUGGUUUGAGCAAGGAAAAUGCAGAGUAGUUUCUCUAGUUGGUGUGAUUUUCAUUUGUUUCUUCAUGUAGAAAAAGGAAUGUCACAAUAAAAACUAUAUAAAGGAAAAAAAGGUCAUUGUCCGCCGUAAUAAUGAAGAGCAAUUCACAAGGGCAACUUAUUCAGCAUUUAUUUUUUGAAAAGCAAAACUAUUUUUUACACAUGAUCAGGUUACUACAAUAAAAAUUAAAUUUCAGAAGGAGAUGAGAGUUGUUUGGGUAAGUUAUGAGUUAAAUGACAUUUUUAGUUCAUUUAAAUAUGAUGAAAAUUUCUCAUUAGUGGGAAAGAACAUCAUUAGGCAUCCUUUCCUGGAAAAAAAAAUUGCGUAUUUUCAUAAUUCACUUAGGAAAACAAAAAACUGACCUCUGGCUCCCAGACCUCUUCGGUACACCAUAAGAUUUGAGCAGCUUGACCUUGUAUUUCUCAGCAAGAAAAUAUAGCAAGAUUGGCACACACAGGAGCCUGAAAGUGUUACACUGGACCACUUCCUUGACAGAAUACAUCACAUUUCUGCUUAACGACUGUCCAGACAUAGUUCAUCAAUCAGUGAAGAGAAAACCAUUUCCCCCACUUUUUUAGGAAUCUGUGUCCUCAAAAUACUGUCACACAGGAAAUAAAGAAAUUGCCUGAUGUAAACCUGCAGGUUCAUCUUUCU